GGAUGAACGCUAGCGGCAGGCCUAACACAUGCAAGUCGAGGGGCAUCGGGAGUAGCUUGCUACUUGCCGGCGACCGGCGCACGGGUGCGCACCGCGUAUGGAACCUACCUUUCACAGGGGAAUAGCCCAGGGAAACUUGGAUUAAUGCCCCGUAGUACCGUUUUACAGCAUUGUAUUAUGGUUAAAGGCUUCGGCCGGUGGAAGAUGGCCAUGCGUCCCAUUAGCUCGAUGGUAGGGUAACGGCCUACCAUGGCUACGAUGGGUAGGGGCCCUGAGAGGGGGAUCCCCCACACUGGUACUGAGACACGGACCAGACUCCUACGGGAGGCAGCAGUGAGGAAUAUUGGACAAUGGAGGGGACUCUGAUCCAGCCAUGCCGCGUGCAGGAAGAAUGCCCUAUGGGUAGUAAACUGCUUUUAUACGGGAAGAAAAAGGGCCACGUGUGGCCUACUGACGGUACCGUAAGAAUAAGGACCGGCUAACUCCGUGCCAGCAGCCGCGGUAAUACGGAGGGUCCGAGCGUUAUCCGGAAUUAUUGGGUUUAAAGGGUCCGUAGGCGGGCGAUUAAGUCAGUGGUGAAAGUCUGCAGCUCAACUGUAGAAUUGCCUUUGAUACUGGUCGUCUUGAGUUAUGGUGAAGUUGGCGGAAUAUGUAGUGUAGCGGUGAAAUGCAUAGAUAUUACAUAGAACACCGAUUGCGAAGGCAGCUGACUAACCAUAUACUGACGCUGAUGGACGAAAGCGUGGGGAGCGAACAGGAUUAGAUACCCUGGUAGUCCACGCCGUAAACGAUGUAUACCAGUAGUCUGGGUUGCUUGGUAUUU
rnacentral:rRNA from 1 species